UCGAGAGGCUUCGGCAAUGGGGGAAACCCUGACCGAGCGACGCCGCGUGGAGGAUGAAGGCCUUUGGGUUGUAAACUCCUGUCAUGAGGGAAGAAUCGUCACCGUUCGAAUAGGGCGGUGACCUGACGGUACCUCAAGAGGAAGCGCCGGCUAACUCCGUUCCAGCCGCCGCGGUAAUACGUAGGGGGCAAGCGUUGUCCGGAUUGAUUGGGCGUAGAGAGCGUGUAGGCGGUUUGGUAGGUCCGCUGUGAAAACUCGAGGCUCAACCUCGAGACGCCGGUGGAAACCAUCAGGCUAGAGUCCGGAAGAGGAGAGUGGAAUUCCUGGUGUAGCGGUGAAAUGCGCAGAUAUCAGGAAGAACACCCGUGGCUAAGGCGGCUCUCUAGUACGGUACUGACGCUGAGACGCGAAAGCGUGGGGAGCGAAC
rnacentral:rRNA from 1 species